UAAUAAUAAUUAAUAACUAUAAUGACGCCGUUUCAUCGUUUGAUCUAUUCCUUUUGUUUCCUCUCCCACUCACACUUUGUUAUUUUUCCAAACCCUAGCAGAGUGAAACACUCAGCCGCCGUCCACUCGCUCCUUCGUUUUCUCAACUCGUUCGUUCGAUUUCCCUCCACCGCCGUCGAACUCAAAGUAUCCACCAUCUAUCUCCUCCAUUUUCUUCGUUUUUGAUUUCUUUAUUGGGUUUUUCGUUUUCGAUUUCUUUACAUAAGAAGAAAGAUAUAAAACUCCUCAUGGCUGAGAAACAAAGAGGCUACACUUCUUUGCGAGGUUGAAGGCGUAGACAAAGAAAUAACAUCUCCGUGCUUCUGGUUUGAGGAUCCUUAGUCCUUGUUUUAACUAUAAAAAUAGAUAUUUAUCCCAGGAAACUCUAAGAUUUGGAGGCUUGAAGGAAGAACCAUCAUCCUUUUAUUGUUGUGCAGGAGUUACAUCAAGAGUAGAGUGAAAAUGAAAAUUGAAAAGUGAUGUUGGUAUUGAAAUGAAUAUAAAUCCCAAUCUAGUUCUUCAAGUGUUUAUGGAUUAUUCAGUCAAAAAAUAAAGUGUUUAUGAAUUAUAAGUGUUGUAAUAUUUUUUAUUAGUGUUUUGUUGAGUAUA